CGAAUGCUGACAUAAGUAACGAUAAAGCGGGUGAAAAGCCCGCUCGCCGGAAGACCAAGGGUUCCUGUCCAACGUUAAUCGGGGCAGGGUGAGUCGACCCCUAAGGCGAGGCCGAAAGGCGUAGUCGAUGGGAAACAGGUUAAUAUUCCUGUACUUGGUGUUACUGCGAAGGGGGGACGGAGAAGGCUAUGUUGGCCGGGCGACGGUUGUCCCGGUUUAAGCGUGUAGGCUGGUUUUCCAGGCAAAUCCGGAAAAUCAAGGCUGAGGCGUGAUGACGAGGCACUACGGUGCUGAAGCAACAAAUGCCCUGCUUCCAGGAAAAGCCUCUAAGCAUCAGGUAACAUCAAAUCGUACCCCAAACCGACACAGGUGGUCAGGUAGAGAAUACCAAGGCGCUUGAGAGAACUCGGGUGAAGGAACUAGGCAAAAUGGUGCCGUAACUUCGGGAGAAGGCACGCUGAUAUGUAGGUGAAGUCCCUCGCGGAUGGAGCUGAAAUCAGUCGAAGAUACCAGCUGGCUGCAACUGUUUAUUAAAAACACAGCACUGUGCAAACACGAAAGUGGACGUAUACGGUGUGACGCCUGCCCGGUGCCGGAAGGUUAAUUGAUGGGGUCAGCGCAAGCGAAGCUCUUGAUCGAAGCCCCGGUAAACGGCGGCCGUAACUAUAACGGUCCUAAGGUAGCGAAAUUCCUUGUCGGGUAAGUUCCGACCUGCACGAAUGGCGUAAUGAUGGCCAGGCUGUCUCCACCCGAGACUCAGUGAAAUUGAACUCGCUGUGAAGAUGCAGUGUACCCGCGGCAAGACGGAAAGACCCCGUGAACCUUUACUAUAGCUUGACACUGAACAUUGAGCCUUGAUGUGUAGGAUAGGUGGGAGGCUUUGAAGUGUGGACGCCAGUCUGCAUGGAGCCGACCUUGAAAUACCACCCUUUAAUGUUUGAUGUUCUAACGUGGACCCGUGAUCCGGGUUGCGGACAGUGUCUGGUGGGUAGUUUGACUGGGGCGGUCUCCUCCUAAAGAGUAACGGAGGAGCACGAAGGUUGGCUAAUCCUGGUCGGACAUCAGGAGGUUAGUGCAAUGGCAUAAGCCAGCUUGACUGCGAGCGUGACGGCGCGAGCAGGUGCGAAAGCAGGUCAUAGUGAUCCGGUGGUUCUGAAUGGAAGGGCCAUCGCUCAACGGAUAAAAGGUACUCCGGGGAUAACAGGCUGAUACCGCCCAAGAGUUCAUAUCGACGGCGGUGUUUGGCACCUCGAUGUCGGCUCAUCACAUCCUGGGGCUGAAGUAGGUCCCAAGGGUAUGGCUGUUCGCCAUUUAAAGUGGUACGCGAGCUGGGUUUAGAACGUCGUGAGACAGUUCGGUCCCUAUCUGCCGUGGGCGCUGGAGAACUGAGGGGGGCUGCUCCUAGUACGAGAGGACCGGAGUGGACGCAUCACUGGUGUUCGGGUUGUCAUGCCAAUGGCACUGCCCGGUAGCUAAAUGCGGAAGAGAUAAGUGCUGAAAGCAUCUAAGCACGAAACUUGCCCCGAGAUGAGUUCU
rnacentral:rRNA from 3 species